rnacentral:rRNA from 1 species
UAUGUGAUCGUCUCUCGCAUAUCAAUAAGCGGAGGAAAAGAAACUAACAAGGAUUCCCCUAGUAACGGCGAGUGAAGCGGGAAGAGCUCAAAUUCGAAAUCUUAAAGGGUUUCCCUUUACGAAUUGUAGUUUAAAGAAGUGUUUUCUGUUGAGGUUUUUGGUAAAAGUUCUUUGGAAUAGGACAUCAUAGAGGGUGAGAAUCCCGUAUUUGACCUUUACUUUCAACUUUGUGAUACACUUUCAAAGAGUCGGAUUGUUUGGGAAUGCAGUCCAAAAUGGGUGGUAAAUUUCAUCUAAAGCUAAAUAUUGGCGAGAGACCGAUAGCGAACAAGUACCGUGAGGGAAAGAUGAAAAGAACUUUGAAAAGAGAGUUAAACAGUACGUGAAAUUGUCCAAAAGGGAAGCGUUUGACACCAGUGUUGUUUUUUCUGAAAAUCAAUUAAAGAAACUGUUUUAUGCUAAGUUGUUUAGACUUUAUCAGCUAACUGUUUAGUUUUGAGCUUUUCUUUAAUGCACUUUUCAGUUAACAAGUCAACAUCAAUUUCUUUUGCUGUAAAAAAGCUUGAGGAAGGUGGCUUGAGAUUCGUCUUAAGUGUUUAUAGCCUCUUGCCUAUGCAGUCGGAGAGAUUGAGGUCUGCAGCGUAGAUCCUUCGGGGCUAAAUGCAUUUGUGCUAAGUUAUAACAUUUUAUAGACAACUUGUUGACUAUGAUUUGUCUUGUAGCUUACUCGCUUAUGUUAUUUUACCUACGCUUAGGAUGUUGAAGUCAUCGUAUCGCGC